AUUGAACGCUGGCGGCAUGCCUUACACAUGCAAGUCGAACGGCAGCACGGGAGCAAUCCUGGUGGCGAGUGGCGAACGGGUGAGUAAUAUAUCGGAACGUGCCCAGUCGUGGGGGGAUAACGUAGCGAAAGCUACGCUAAUACCGCAUACGAUCUAUGGAUGAAAGCGGGGGAUCGCAAGACCUCGCGCGAUUGGAGCGGCCGAUAUCAGAUUAGGUAGUUGGUGGGGUAAAGGCCUACCAAGCCUUCGAUCUGUAGCUGGUCUGAGAGGACGACCAGCCACA
rnacentral:rRNA from 1 species